rnacentral:rRNA from 1 species
AUGUGAAUUGCAGAAUUCAGUGAAUCAUCGAAUCUUUGAACGCACAUUGCGCCCCGUGGUAUUCCGCGGGGCAUGCCUGUUCGAGCGUCAUUUCACCACUCAAGCCUCGCUUGGUAUUGGGCGAUGCGGUCCGCCGCACGCCUCAAAUCGACCGGCUGGGUCGAUCGCACCCUCAGCGUUGUGGAAACUAUUCGCUAAAGGGACUGUGGUCGGUCACGCCGUGAAACAAACCAAUUUUCAAUGGUUGACCUCGGAUCAGGUAGGGAUACCCGCUGAACUUAAGCAUAUCAAUAAGCGGAGGAA